UAAGGGAUUAAGAACACUCAUAACAAACACAGGCAAGGGCCAAUUAGAAGCCUUGCCAUUGCUUGUUACUCGUACUACUUGAUCAGAAGAGGCUGCAGCUAUAUACGAUAUUUUGCUAGCAAUUAGAAUUCGAGAGACCAGAAAGGUGUUCAUUACGUCUACUAACGCUCCAGUAAAAUGAGACCGCUUCCUUUUUUGCCUUUAGAAAGGGCUACUUUUAACCGUGCGUAAAGAAUCUCACGCACGGAAUAACUCUUCUUUGAUAAGAAUGCACAAGUCACAAAUUAAUAUUCGCGCUUAUUUAUUAAUGUUACCAUGCAGACUCAAUUACAAACACAUCUAUGGCUGCUUGUCGUGACCAAAUGUUUGGCAUCAUCCACGCAUAAUGUAAUUUGUGGUUAGUUCUACGCUGGGACAACUCUUUGAUAAGUAUACACUGUUAAAAAAAGGUUGUUCAGGUAACAACCUUAGUUAAAUAGGUUGUUGUGAUAACAACCCUGAGUUUAUAUGGUUGUUGUGUUAACUACCCUGGUUGUUGUGUAACAACCCUGGUUGUAAGUUUGCUGCAAUAAUCACUUCAGAACAAGUUGCACAUCUUAUCAUGGUUCUCAGCUGCAUUAUAAUUACAGAGUACCAUAGAUCUAGUUGCCAUGUGAACAUCAUCAAGUUUUGCUUUGCAAGUGUACACUUCUGGCGCUAUACAUGCAUCAACUAUACUGCAGUUAUCACUAUAAUUAAUGAAGUGUCUGUAUAGCCUGUUACUUGUUUAGUUCUGAGCUGAAAUGACUCUACAUUUAGAUAUCCAAAGCAUCUAUAGUAAGUUACUAACUUAGCUUGCAUGUGUCAGAAUAUUAGUAGACACUGCAGCACUGCAUACAGGUUGCAUAUAUAGUGGGACAGGUUGCAUAGUGGGUAAAGGUUGUGUAACUUACAUGUAGUGUUUGGAGUUUGGGUUCAAAGUACUAGUAUAGUAUAAUGCACAUGUGCAUUCCACGGUUACCUAGCACCAACUUCAUUGCAAGGCAGCUGUGCUUGCCAGUAACUUCAGCUCCUGGCAGAAAGAAGCUAAGUACAAGUACUCACAAAGGAGUUGUUUUGCAUGUGUCUAUAAUGAAGAAGCUGGUUAAAUGAAGAAGCUGCACUACUGCUUGGAGACCCCCUGCUCAUGCAGGUAACCAACUCUUAAUAAUUAUUAUUAUUGAUGCUGUGCCAUUUUGUAGCUGUAGAAGGAGUGCUCCCAGAAAGUGAUUGCUGAUAAAGCAUCUACUGGCAGUGCUGAAUCAAAUAUGGAUGCUGAGGGUGACGUGACUGUCACGUGAGCUGAGGGUGAGGUGUAACGCACCAAGCAAUUUCAAGUUCACACGAACAUGUCAGAGACAUCGAAGAAAGUGACUCCUAUAAUAGCUCUCAAGAUGACGCAGUAACUAUGCGUAUGCUUUAAUUGUGAUCUGUGCUUUUGUUUGUUAUUAUAAUUUCUUUGCUCU